GGGGUUGUAGCUCAGUGGUAGAGUGUUUGCCUCUCAUGUGAAAUACUGGGUUUGAUCCUCAGCACCACA
rnacentral:tRNA from 1 species